rnacentral:misc_RNA from 1 species
AAUUAUAAUUGAUUUAAAAGUUCUAUGAAAAUUAAUGCCCAGAUGAGCCGCCAAAGUAUGCAUGAAGCUUCAAGAGCUGAUUGCAGUAUUCUAGGGAAGCCUUGGCCAAUUCCUAUGCCGAAGGAAGCCUUUGAACAUCAAUUUGCCAUACAUUCAAGGUUUACGACAAAAUGAAUCCAAUUUCGCAAAGCUUUAAGCCCUGGACGCCAACAGGCACCGUGAAGCUACCAGCAGGACACUAAAGAGUAGGGCCAAGCAUUUUUCAGUCUGAACCAAAAAACCAAACCGAGCCAAUUUGGUUCAAUCAUUUCGGCUUUUCAGUUAAUUCGGUGCAGUUCGGUUAUGGGUUUUCACUAUUUUUGGUUUCGGUUCGGUUUCUUUUUUUCAGUUAAAACUAAAAAAAAUUCCCAUGUACAGUUGAGGGCACAGGAGAAAUGCCAUACCACCCAUAGAAAAAUCCUUAAUUCUUAAUGUCAUUUAUGUCUUAAAAGAAGUGUAAAGAACUCCUUUCCCAGCUGCCUGUUUCUCUUUUGCAUGGGUUUUCUCGCCUCAGUCCUCUCUUCUUCUUCAUGGACAUCGCAACUCGCCUCUCUUCCCCUCUCGUCUCUGCCUUGCUUGUUUUCCUUGUCAUUGUCGCUGACCAGGUAUUGUCACUUGAAAGGUCAGUUGAAGGUUGCACCGCCCUCUGCUGCAAUGUAAGCUCCCUCUUUUCUCUAGUCUAUUUUUUAUAGUCGAGCAUUUCUAUCCCUAUUUGAGUCUCAUGGUUGCUGAAACAAAUGGGUGAAUAUAGUUUGUGGUCGAGAUUGUUGGCCUUCAUCAAAUCACUUCACCUUCAAGGAUUCCUUGCUUUUUUUUUUUUUUUUUGUU